GGGGAAUCUUGGACAAUGGGCGCAAGCCUGAUCCAGCCAUGCCGCGUGAGUGAAGAAGGCCUUAGGGUUGUAAAGCUCUUUUGGCAGGGACGAUAAUGACGGUACCUGCAGAAUAAGCCCCGGCAAACUUCGUGCCAGCAGCCGCGGUAAUACGAAGGGGGCUAGCGUUGUUCGGAUUUACUGGGCGUAAAGCGCACGUAGGCGGAUUGUUAAGUCAGGGGUGAAAUCCCGGAGCUCAACUCCGGAACUGCCUUUGAUACUGGCAAUCUUGAGGCUGGAAGAGGUUGGUAGAAUUCCCAGUGUAGAGGUGAAAUUCGUAGAUAUUGGGAAGAAUACCAGUGGCGAAGGCGGCCAACUGGUCCAGAUCUGACGCUGAGGUGCGAAAGCGUGGGGAGCAAACA
rnacentral:rRNA from 1 species